rnacentral:misc_RNA from 1 species
GACUGCGGAGGUCAUUAUCGUAUAACCGAGGUGCAACGGGCUGUCGCUGACCUUUUAAAAGGUUGUGCACGCUCGAGUGCCCUCACCCAAUCCAUCUCACCCCUUUUGUGCAUCACCGCGCGGGCCCCCCCUUGCAGGAGGGCUUGCGUUUUCACAUAAAACUCGAUACAGUUUAGAAUGUCCUCUUCUUUUGCGGUCACACGCAAUCAAUACAACUUUCAACAACGGAUCUCUUGGCUCUCGCAUCGAUGAAGAACGCAGCGAAAUGCGAUACGUAAUGUGAAUUGCANAAUUCAGUGAAUCAUCNAAUCUUUGAACGCACCUUGCGCCCCUUGGCUUUCCGAGG